ensembl:miRNA
AUUAACUCUAGCUUUUAAUUUUGAUGGCAAAGGUGUAGCUAAACAAUCUAUGUCUUUGCCAUCAAAGUUAAAAGCCAGAGUUAAU